rnacentral:rRNA from 1 species
AAGAUUAAGCCAUGCAUGUCUAAGUAUACGCAAAUUAUACUGUGAAACUGCGAAUGGCUCAUUAAAUCAGUUAUAGUUUAUUUGAUGUUUCUUGCUACAUGGAUAACUGUGGUAAUUCUAGAGCUAAUACAUGCGUAAAAAGCCCCGACUUCGGAAGGGGUGUAUUUAUUAGAUAAAAACCAUCCUCCUCGGAGUUUGGCGAUUCAUAAUAACUUCUCGAAUCGCAC